GACAGAGGAUGCAAGCGUUAUCCGGAAUGAUUGGGCGUAAAGCGUCUGUAGGUGGUUUGACAAGUCUUCUGUCAAAGAUCAGGGCUUAACCCUGGGCAGGCAGGAGAAACUAUCAGGCUAGAGUUCGGUAGGGGCAGAGGGAAUUCCCGGUGGAGCGGUGAAAUGCGUAGAGAUGUGGAGGAACACCAGUGGCGAAGGCGACUCUUUGGCCUGUAACUGACACUGAGGCGCGAAAGCGUGGGGAGCAAACAGG
rnacentral:rRNA from 1 species